UAGCAUCUUCAGGUAAUCUUGUAGACCAGUUAUGGAAUAGAGUUAUCUAUAACCCCAGACUCCGGUUGUUAAAAACGGUCUGGUUUUAUCAGACAGACUUUGUUUUUGAAACAGGAACCUAUUUUUAUCAGCCGGAGACAAGAGUUUGGAACUACAGACUAUAUAAUAAUCUGGUUGUACCAGAAGGAACGGUCCCCAACCCCUCACCAGUUAUCUCCCACAUGCAGCGCAGCACUCAGAGGUGUUUUUUUUUCUUUUUUUUCUUACUUCUAUAAUUACCCUACCAGAAAUCCAGAGGUCUUCACACUAGUGACCUGAAACCAGAGCGAUGACCCUUCAAAGAGAACACGUUGUUUUCAACAGUUUUUGACUUAAUCGGCAAUGAGCUUCAUUCAACCACAUAUCACCCUGAAGAUUUCUACUCAGAGGAACAAAUAGGGUCUACAAGGGAGAAUGGCAUUCCGUCAGAUCAGGUGGUAGAUCUCACAGGAGAAGUCGAUGGUGCGAGCGAUUGUGAACAGUACUAUAUGCAGGGUCUCUCCACUACCUUUUACGAGGAAAACGCUCCGGUUCUGGAAUCGGAUCAGCCCUCGGUUUCAGUACCGCAAGCGUACAUAACACCGGGGCCCCCGAAACACGAUGAGCCGGAUGUGUCCCCGGAGUCACCCGUCGAUGAUGUAGAGCGCUCCAGUCAGGCCGCAGAUGGGAGAUCACGUAACGGAUCACCGGUAGAAGCACGGGGACUGACAGCGGAGGAAAUCAUUCAUCCGGACCCAGCAGAACCAUGUAUGCAGAUGAAUCAGACUGAGCCUAAACCGAUCAACGGACCUCGGAAAAGGGAACACCGUAGAAGGCUCAUUUCAACCAGCAGUAGCAGUAGCAGUAGUAGGAGCAGCAGGCCACCCACACGCAAACCACUACUAUGGUAUAAAAAAUCUAAAGGACUUUCUGGGUUCCCCAUAUCUGUGUGAGUACUGUUACACAGGGUACAACUGUGUGCUGAGUCACAGAUGCCCUGCUCAUUGUUCCAUUUGCUAUGACCCUACCUUUAUUCAGAAGGGGUUUCGACCUGUUGUGUGUAAAGAGUGUAACAGGAUAUGUCGUUCAGAAUUCUGCCUGACAAAGCACAAAGAGCCUACAGAGAGCCCCAGAGCCCAAAAAUUCGCCAGCACGUGCUUGUUGUACAAAAAAUGUAACAAAUGUGCACAGCUUUACUACUCAGCGAUGAGUGGUGAAGGUAAACCACACACAUGUCCUGUGGUGAAGUGUAAAAUCUGUGGUGAGAAUUUGACCUCUGACGUUACAGAUAAGAGUGAGAUGCACCAGUGCUACAUCCAGACACUACCCCUGAAACAAAACACACAGAAAAAUUGGUGUUUUAUGAUUUUGAAACAUACGUCAAUGAAAAUGGUGUUCACAUACCCUUUUUGUUGUGUACAAAAAUGUUAGAUGGCAAAACAUGGAGCUCUCAAGGCAGAAAUUGUGCCAACGAUUUUCUCAUGCAUUUCAGACGCCCUCUGUACAAAAAUGCUGUGUUUAUUGCUCACAAUGCUCGAGGUUUUGACUCCUACCUACUCCUCAACGCCAUGCUUGAAUAAGCAUUAAAACCCUCUUUGAUUUUGCAAGGUUCAAAAGUCAUCUGUAUGACAGAUCCAGAUUUUAAUCAAAAAUACAUUGACUCACUCUCCUUUCUUUCCAUGCGUUUAGCCGAUAUGCCAAAAGCUCUCGGUUUCG